AAAUUGAAGAGUUUGAUCAUGGCUCAGAUUGAACGCUGGCGGCAGGCCUAACACAUGCAAGUCGAACGGUAACAGGAAGCAGCUUGCUGCUUUGCUGACGAGUGGCGGACGGGUGAGUAAUGUCUGGGAAACUGCCUGAUGGAGGGGGAUAACUACUGGAAACGGUGGCUAAUACCGCAUAACGUCGCAAGACCAAAGAGGGGGACCUUCGGGCCUCUUGCCAUCAGAUGUGCCCAGAUGGGAUUAGCUUGUUGGUGAGGUAACGGCUCACCAAGGCGACGAUCCCUAGCUGGUCUGAGAGGAUGACCAGCCACACUGGAACUGAGACACGGUCCAGACUCCUACGGGAGGCAGCAGUGGGGAAUAUUGCACAAUGGGCGCAAGCCUGAUGCAGCCAUGCCGCGUGUAUGAAGAAGGCCUUCGGGUUGUAAAGUACUUUCAGCGGGGAGGAAGGUGUUGCGGUUAAUAACCGCAGCAAUUGACGUUACCCGCAGAAGAAGCACCGGCUAACUCCGUGCCAGCAGCCGCGGUAAUACGGAGGGUG
rnacentral:rRNA from 1 species